GACGGAAGGUGCAAGCGUUGCUCGGAAUCAUUGGGCGUAAAGCGCGCGUAGGUGGCUUCGUAAGUCCGUUGUGAAAGUCAAAGGCUCAACCUUUGAAUGCCGAUGGAUACUGCGGAGCUAGAGUACGGAAGAGGCGAGUGGAAUUCCUGGUGUAGCGGUGGAAUGUGCAGAUAUCAGGAGGAACACCAAUAGCGAAGGCAGCUCGCUGGGACGUUACUGACACUAAGGCGCGAAAGCGUGGGGAGCGAACAGG
rnacentral:rRNA from 1 species